rnacentral:misc_RNA from 1 species
GUUUUGGGUUUGAGUCAUUUUAGACUGCUCAAGAGGUUAGGUUGUGGGGAUAUUGGGAGUGUCUAUCUGUCAGAGCUGAGUGGAACAAAGUGUUAUUUGCAAUGAAGGUUAUGGAUAAAGGCUCUUUAGCCAGNNNNNNNNNGAAAAAGCUACUUCGGGCUCAGACCGAAAGGGAAAUAUUGCAAUCUUUGGACCAUCCCUUCCUUCCA